UACGUAUGGGGCAAGCGUUAUCCGGAUUUACUGGGUGUAAAGGGAGCGUAGGCGGCGGGGCAAGCCUGAUGUGAAAGCCCGGGGCUCAACCCCGGGACUGCAUUGGGAACUGCCCUGCUGGAGUGCCGGAGGGGCAGGCGGAAUUCCUAGUGUAGCGGUGAAAUGCGUAGAUAUUAGGAGGAACACCAGUGGCGAAGGCGGCCUGCUGGACUGAAACUGACGUUGAGGCUCGAAAGCGUGGGGAGCAAACAGG
rnacentral:rRNA from 1 species